GACGAACGCUGGCGGCAUGCUUAACACAUGCAAGUCGAACGGUGACCCCCUUCUGAGGGGCUGAGUGGCGAAUGGCUGGUUAACACGUGGGCAACCUGCCCCCGUCUCUGAGAUAACCUCAUGCUAUUGGGGCUUAUGCCCUAUGUUCACCGCUUCUCGCGCGGUUGGAGGUGGCCACGGUUUCCGGCUGGGGAUGGGCCCGCAGCGUUUCAGCUUGCUGGUGGGGUUGUGUCAUCCCAAGGCGACGCCGGGUAGCCGGCCUGUGAGGGUCACCGGCCACACUAGGACUGAAACACGGCCCAGACUCCAACGGGAGGCAGCGGUGGGGAAUAUUGCGCAAUGGGAGGAGGCAUAGCGCAACGAAGCCGCGUGGGGUAUAACGGCCAGCGGGUAGGAAACCUCUUUCAGCAGGGAGGAAGCGCAAGUGACGGUACCUGCAGAAGAAGCACCGGCCAACUACGUG
rnacentral:rRNA from 1 species